GGAUUGUAAGUUGUAUCCUGGUACUCUGAGCCUCAUGGAUUUGGGAAGGGAAAUUCUCCCUCAAUGGAACGACUUCCAUCCAAGACUGUUCUGCUCUUCAUCUCCAGAAAGAAGCAAAGGACCUCAAAUCUCAGCAUGUACACCAGUAGGAUCAGGCUGAACAGUUUCAAGCAUUGUGUUUCAGUCCUCAGAGCCACCAUACAAGGUACAGUCUGUUUUUUGAACAAAUGGCACAAUUGAGUCAUGGUGAAGUCAACCUUGUGGAUAAGAAGAAGGAUUAACUCUGGCCCUUGGUAGAGCACUGAUCUCGUAUGAUCAAGGCCCUGGAUCGAACUAUGGGAAAUGAAAAAGAAAUUUCAAACAUAAAGACACACACAAACAAUUUAGAACUACCAAUGCAGCUACUUUCAACUUCCCUGUACCUUCCUGAAAUGUUUCAAAUGUAAUAUUGAAACUGAAUAUUUGUGGUGUCUUGAGUUCAAACAUUCAUUCAUUGAUUUACGUUUCUGAGGAAUGAUGGGUACUCAUCUAGUCUCAGUCCAUUUAAGAUUCACAAACAUUGUCCCAGACAAUGAGACCCAUCUUUCUUCAGCAUAGAGAAGAUGAAUCACUAGACUAUGCACGUAGCAGUAAAGGGGCUUGAUACAGCCAAACUUUGGCUCAGACCCUCUGGCCAGGCCCAUUUGGAUAAUGUGCCUGCUUUUGCACAGUUGUCAGUCUUAUCAGUAAGUGUCCUGUGAGCAAAAAAACCAAGAAGACUCCUCCAGUAAGAGUAAAAGAUGCUUGUGACUGUCUGCAGUUAAGGUAGUAGAGUUCUCAUAACUUGGGCCUUCAUUUCUCCAGGCCCAGCUGUCCCCUGGCUUUGGCAGUGGCAUAUUGAUGGGACUGUCUGUUCUAGAAAACACAUGCUGGGAUGUUAGAAAGGAUGAGCUCUCAGCUUCCAUAGUGAUAUCUCUUUUGGAGCCCUUACUUGAGGGCCUAGUACCAAAUCAGGCCAUAUUCACAGAUGGUUCUUUCUUUCCCACCACUGAUAAUCAGGCCUUUCUUUAUUUUAUUCAUAUUACUGUUGUUGAUAGAGUCUCAUGUUUCCCAGGCAGGCACAGAGUCAUGAUCCUUCUGCCCUAUGUCCAUGGUGUUGAAAUAAGAGGCUUGUCACCAC
ensembl:processed_transcript